CAAGAUCAUGAAGAACUUGAAGACGAAUCGCCGAAUCGGAGCUCCCAUCUUCUGUUUCUAUGGCUAGAAAGGAUUUAGAUUUUUUUUGCCAAGCGUGUCUCUCAAAUCUUACGGACAAACUGGAGUUUACACUCUCAUUCACAGCUCCUGGCAUUCAUCGCAGCGUUCUACCUGGGCCACACCAAGAAGCACACAAACACCAAUUGAUCACGGUGUCCCAUGCAUUGGUAUGCUUUUGUUUCGUUUGCUCUCUCACACGCAUGCAUAGGCUUGAGCUUUAAGCUCGACAUUCCUUACGUCAUUGCUUGUCGAGGAAAUGGAGAAACCACUGUUUCAGCAACAAUAUCUUUCGCUUCAAAGGCUGGAAUCAAAGUGUUCGUUACUGGAGGUAUUGGAGGAGUUCAUCGACAGGGCGAGUCAAGGAAGCCCAAGGUUCCCCAAGGUUCAUACUUUUGUGUCUUUAACUUUGUUUUUAUUAAGCUCCUCGGACUUAACAGAACUCGGUAUAAAACCCCAGUUGCGGUGGUUUGUGCAGGGGUAAAAUCAAUCCUUGACAUUCCACGAACACUUGAAUACCUUGUCAGACCAUCGUAUAGCGCACGGGCGUUUUAAUAUGAAACAAUUUGCAGGAAACUCAAGGAGCUACUCAACUGAUGAAUUUCCGGCAUUUUUUACUCCUAAAAGUGGCUGAAAAGCACCUUGCCGAGCAGACAACGUGGAGGAGAGGCAAAUACGAAGUUUGGAUUGGGUUCGGGCAUUUUGAUCGGGUUUCCAAUACCCGCAGACCAUGCAGCGGCAGCUAAGAACGUGGAAUCGGCCAUACAAUCGACAUUGCAUGAAGCAGAGAGCAGAUAUUGCCGGUAAUUUUGUGACGCCAUUCUUGCUCAAGCGCGUCACUGGAGGCGAUUCAUUGGCUGCAGCUCGUGAAGAAUAAUGCACUCGCUGGUGCGAAAUGUUGCAACGGCUCUAAAUCGUCUUGACACUCGACCCCAAUUGGUAGAAAUGUCACACCAAUUGAAACCAAUUGAGAAGAUCCUAACUCGUUGCGCAACGAGUUAAGAUCUUUUCAAGAACUUGGUUAAAACUCACCCUUUUCUCAUCACUAUGCCAGGGAAUUGAGAAAUUAGUCCGUGAACUUAUCCGGUUUCUCCGAGGACCACUGGCACUGAUUUCUCUCGCGCUUCUCACAGCUUCCAUCGCCUUAUACGCCGCUCGAUAGGAUUAAUGUCCCUUUCGACUGGAUGGGAAGGCCUGUAACCCAAAUGGGAACAAAAGUUCAACAUUGUUGGAACAAUCUUUGGUAUGACUAGAGCCCUCCCUUUGCGUUUCUCAGUUGCGCGGCUCUUUCACUCUUCCGGCUAACAAACAUACUAUUCGAGCAUGCCGUGUGCGCGGUACCACAUUUGGACGGGGCAUAUCACGUGUUCCUCUGGACUGUCCGUGCUUGGUUUAUAUCCUCUACUGGACAAUGGCAAACAAAUCACAAGAGCUUGUAAGGUGGCACAAGAUCGACAUAAGUGGUUUCACUGGAUUGUUUACUUGGAUCGUCGGCCUUCUGAUUUGGGGACUUCUCUAGCUCCAUUCCGGAAGCACAGAUUCGAGCUCUUUUACUACACACACCAGCUUUACUUUGUCUUCAAUAUUGGCUUUGCUCUUCACCUCGGGAGGAAUGGCUCGCCAUCAUCAUCGCCGGAGUGUUUCUUUUCUUCAUCGAUAGAGCCUUCCGGUGCCUGCAAUCGAUGAGGCACGUUGAGGUGGUCUCGGCAAAAGUCAUCUCUCCAGAAACUCUGGGGCUCACUCUCGCUAAAGUUCCUGAUUGAAGAGCCCGGCCGCAAGUGUGAUCUUUCUCAACUUGCGCCAUCUCGAGAUUGCAGACAUCCUUUCACUGUUACAUCGUGCUCAACUUUGGACGUGGAUCGAAUUACUAUUCUCGUGAAAUGCCGUGGAAGAUGGACCUGCUGCUCGAUCAGGAGCGUCUUCACGAGAACAGCUAUCCCGCACCCUUUGAAGCAGCAGUUGAAGGCCUCAUGGUCACGAGCUUGAUAUGUCCAGCUUUGAUCUUCGUGGCCGGAGGAAGUGGAGUCGGACCAUUCAUCGCUCAGGCUUGCACCAAAGAAAAUCGUUUUCAUUCUGGCAGUCAAGUUUUCCUAGGAGCUCCAGAUUCUACAUUCCAUCUCACCUCUUCCAUCGCUUCCGAUAUCUCCGCUGCAGAUUUCUUGAAACUUCAUGCUUAUGUCACUCGUGAAAGCGAAAGUGAUCUUGAAUCCCCCGUCAAGUUGAGUCUGGAAAUCCAAACGCGAAGAAAGUUCUGCAGCAACAAUCCUGGCAUCUUUCGCAGGAUACAUGCUCAUCGCGGGACUGGUGCACACAUCUAUCCAAUGGACCACAAUACGUACCAAGUUUGCUCGAGAUCGGGUAGAGGAUUUGCGCCGCUUCUCGAGUACGUGGUCGCCAUUUGUGCCUUUGAUGGUGGAACUAUCCUCCUGUGGAACUGGUCCAAGUCGACUCUAAUCUUGUAGACGCGCCAGUGAUAGACCCAAGCUCGACGAAAAUAAGACCAAGCAACGUGGUUUAUGGAAGACGCCCGGAUUUCCAACUCCUCAAGCAAGGAGAAAUUCGAUUUGUGAUCUAAGUUGCGUGUUUUUGUCACAGAGAUCUGCGCUGAGCACACAAGCAAAAACAAGGAAUGCAUAGUUGUGACCAGAGGGCAUGCAAAGGACAGUGCCGAGCUCAACUUGCACCCCUUAAA